CUACGUGCCAGCAGCCGCGGUAAUACGUAGGUGGCGAGCGUUGUCCGGAAUCAUUGGGCGUAAAGGGAGCGCAGGCGGGCCGGUAAGUCUUACUUAAAAGUGCGGGGCUCAACCCCGUGAUGGGAGAGAAACUAUCGGUCUUGAGUACAGGAGAGGAAAGCGGAAUUCCCAGUGUAGCGGUGAAAUGCGUAGAUAUUGGGAAGAACACCAGUGGCGAAGGCGGCUUUCUGGACUGCAACUGACGCUGAGGCGCGAAAGCCAGGGGAGCGAACGGGAUUAGAUACCCCGGUAGUCCUGGCCGUAAACGAUGGGUACUAGGUGUAGGAGGUAUCGACCCCUUCUGUGCCGGAGUUAACGCAAUAAGUACCCCGCCUGGGGAGUACGACCGCAAGGUUGAAACUCAAAGGAAUUGACGGGGGCCCGCACAAGCGGUGGAGUAUGUGGUUUAAUUCGACGCAACGCGAAGAACCUUACCAGGUCUUGACAU
rnacentral:rRNA from 1 species